GGGGGUGGCAGCACCCCUGGGCCUCCCUUCUUCCCUCGCAGGUUGCGCCCGUGCGCAUCUCCGCGCGCAUCAGCCCCCCCUCCCCCCGCGCCUCCCUACCGCGCAACCCGCGCACCCCGCGCAGUGACCCCACGGCGAGUUCGAGUCCCGCGGGGAACGGAUCCCUCCGAGCUGCGGGGGUUGCUCUGGGGACGGCCUCCAGGGAUUUGUGUCUGAUUCGGUUUUAUCCCUUUCUGACACUUCUUUUUUUCUCGCUGAAGGGCAGCGGCGGUGCUCUGGGGUACGGGGCGAGGGGAUGCGAGGGGACCUCGGCUGCGCUCUGCCCGAGGAAGGGACCUUCUCUCCUCUUUAUUUUCUCGGCUCACUUUAACUGAUCCAUCCUGACACUCUAUUUUGCUUUCAAAUCAAGUAAAGAUGUGGGAGAGAACUUUUGAACUGUUUUAUGGAAAGUGGAGUGAAGCAAUGCUGCAGUGAGGGCUUUUUUCCUCCCUCGCCGGACUGAUGCGUCCGGCCCUGCACCUCUGAUGCCCAAAGCCUUUUGCAGCUCAGGGGAGGGGGAAACGAAAUGUUUUGGUGGCAUUCGGCCCGUGACAGCCGGCGCAUCCCGGUGCCUCCCGGAGCCCCUCUGCACUUGGACCCCCACCGGCCCGGAGCUGCCCAAGGCGCAGGCGGCCAACGGCAGCGCUUCCAAAAAGUCGGGAUGAAAAAGUUGAAGGCUUAAUGUUUUCUGACAGAUACAAAUGAUACCCCAAGGCUUUCUUAAAACGCGGCGAAUGACGGGAGGAGAAAGGGUUUUCCUAUUCGGGUUUCUGCAGCUGGAAGCAAACGGGGUGGGGGGUUCUCCUCGGCCCUCCUGUCCCGAAAAUUAAACCAUCUCCUGGAAUAACUCCGUUUUUCCCAAGUGCCAUUCGGCACAGCCCCACUCUGGCUCUGCUCCGUGGCCUUCUCCGCAUCCCUCAGACCACGAGCACCGAGCCAUGCUCCGAGCAAAUCCGAAACCGCUGUCAGCAGCCGCUCGGGUUUAGUCCUGGUUGUCCGCAGCCUGAACCGAGUGGGAUCAGCAAUGCCACCGCCAGAGGAUGGACAGCUCGGGGUGCGCGGGCUGCUUCUCUCGGUGGGGAGGGGGAAGGAAGGGGGAAAGUGCCACAUAGUCCCACAAUUCCCUCUCCGAGCAGUGGGAACAUGCUUUUCUUAUUAAUUGAUGGAGGAAGGGGCACCGGCGCUUGCAAGGCAGCCUGCUCAUGUUACUCUGUGCAUCUCCAGGUCCGAAAUGUGUUUGGUUUGUGGACUAAAAAAGAUGCCUCUCGUGCAGGGCAGUCCAAGGCCCGCGCGAUCCGUUGGCAUUUUAUUGUGAUCGUUCUUCUGCAGAAAAAGGGGCUGCGUUUGGUACCACCGAUGCUGCGUUUCCUUGUGGGUUUCCCUCACCUUGUUUCGGGCGAGCAACCUCUUAAUUGCUGCAGCGUUUGGAUGGGGGAAACGCAUUUCCCCUAAACAGAACAUUUCCUGAAGGGCUGAAAUAUUCUAAUAACGCGCUUUAAUGUCCUCAGAACAGCCGUGAAUCUCUGCAGGGCCACGCGUUUCCUGCCUUAAAAAGCAAAAUCGGCGAAACAAUUCACCUUUGUGUGCACUCAGCACCCUCUCUUCUAUUUUCUUUUCUUUCCCUCCCUUCUUCCCCUCCUCCCCCCUUUUUCUUAUUUUUCCUCCCAUAGAUGCUCUGCGCUGCCCCGCGAUGAGGAGCGGGGACGACUUUCUUUCCAGUUUCAUUGUGGGAACGGCCGUAUCUUAACGGGCACAUCUCAGCGAGAGAUAGGAGAACACCACCGCCUUCCAGAGGGCUGCGCUAAUCAGCGCACGGGGCAAGAUAUAAAAGUUCAGGGCAAAUAAAACGAAUUAGUUUUAUUAGCACGUUUAGGAGGCGGUCUAACGAAGGAAUUCGGCUUUACUAGAGAAUGUUUUCUCCACCCCUUCUGUUAUUUAAAAGCAGCAUCUAUGCGGGCUGAUCGGGACGGGGGGGUGGGGGAGAAAUAACGCACCGCUCAACCCGCAGUGAUUUUCUCCGAGGAACGCGCCAUUCUCUCCACCCGGUAAGGAGCACAGAGCCCGGGAAAUACACGAUUUCACAAUGCAAUCUGCUCGAACAAUAAAACCAGUAGUAAAGGAGAGGCUCGGGGCCGAUCAGCGGCGGCUGUCGGGGGGAAAUCUCUGCCCCGCUCAGGGAUUCGUUCGGCUGAACCGCGUCCGGGGAACGGUGCCACCGCUCCGGCUCGGGAUGUCCAGGACUCGGCCCGUAUUUCAGGCACCAGAAGGAUUUUGGGGACGUUCUCCAAGCGAAGCAGCUCUCAGCAAUUAUUUGGACGUCGGGUUUUAGCUCAGAGGCGCAGGGAACGCAUCCCUGGGUCUGGGAGGCAGAAAUUACGUAUUUUAAGACUGUUAGGAAAUAAUCAAACGGCGUCUCGGUCCUCGCUAUCCGCACUGGGGUACCUCGCUAGGCACAUUUUUUUUUUUUUUGUUCAAUUCGUGUCUCGGCGUUUGUGUUCGCCUACAGCGAGGUCGGCAAAACUUAAGGAAUAAGGACGAAAUGACAGAAAACGCUCCUAGGGACGAUUUUUUACGCGACACCUGAAAAUUCUCCUAAGGGUACCGUCGGGGAGGAACUCCGCGCGUCCAUUCAACGGAGUUAACACGAGGGAAUAGAAGCCUUUUUCCACCGCUCCGAGAAUUUCGCCUCCGUUGGACAGAGCGGAGUUGCGGGACAUCGCUGGAGCGUGGGGCUUCCUAAAGGUGUGCCCAUUUUUUUUUUUUCAAUCAGAAAGUAAAUAACAACAAUAAUAAUAAUAAUAAUAAAACACACACACGCAAAGGAGAAAAAAAAAAAAGUAGGGGAACGGAAGAAUUUUCUUGUUCCGAAAAGGGAAUUAAUUGAACGGCAGCUCAGGCUCUCUCCGCCCGCAUCUCUUCCGCGGCCGCGCAGCCCCGGCUGAGACCCCCGCAGCCCCCCGCGCUCCCCAUCCCUCCACCUGUCCCGGCUCGGCCCCCCCGCGCUGCCAUCUCCGGACACCCCCGGGGCCCCGAUCCGACCGCCCCAUCCUAUAGUAGGGGCCGUGCUUUGCUCCGCGUUGCUCCGCGCUGCUCGGGAGAAGAACUCGGGGUUGAAAACGGUGCGCUUACGAUAAAAUAAUAGCACAACAACAACGACGGCGACAAAAAUCUGAAAUAAAGUGAGGUAACCCCUUUGGAAUUGCGUUUCCAUGCGUAUUUGUCAGUGCUGACGAAGCGCAGAGGCCCUGAAAAGAAUUUACGCGCUAGAACGAUGCCAGGGGCCGCGGCCGUGCGCGGGGCGCGGUGCUGCGGGCGGACGGCGACGCGGAGCGGUGAGGGGCGCAAAUCCCCCCACCCCCCCUGGCCCGGCCCGGCCCCGCUUUGUUUGCCGGUCCGAACCGCGCAGCCCCGCACCGCUCCGCACCUUCGGAGAGGGCGAAACGGGGCCGGGACGCGACCCGAGGAACACGCGUGGGGCCGGGGGGGGGGACGCGGCGCGUAGCACGCGCGGUGGGGCGGGACGGGAGAGCGGGGCCGUCCGUGCGGGACGCGGGGAGACACGCGUGGGGAGAGCCGGGAGCGCGGGGACGCGCGUGGGGCCGUCCCGGGGCACUUACCGGGCGCUGCGGGGUGCCGGGCCCGGCGGGCGCUGUGCGCGCCCUGCCCGCCGCUCCAGGGUUUUCUUCGGAGAUUUCCCCGUCUCCUCCUGACGUCAGCCCCGUCCCAGGGUGCCGCUCACGGGGGAGGGCCGGGGGCAGGGCCGGCCGCACCGGGAGAACGGCGGAACCCGCAGCUCCGGGUCCGGCAUCUCCGUCCCGCGGCAGCAGCAUCCCGGGUCGGGCCCCCCCGCCCCACAGCCGGCGGCUCGGUGCUGCUCCCCGGGCGGCUCCGUGCUCAGGGUUCCACGGCCCCUGCCCUCUUCAUUUCCUCCCGGCUGGUUUUCUUCGGCUGAGGGGGCAGGGAAAGCAAUGGCCACUUUUUUUUUUUUUUUUUUUUUUUUUUAAAUUUUUAAUUUUUUCCCCAGAGAGAAGCCCUGAAGAAACGCUACUGCUGCAGUGUUUGGUAUGGAAGUGAGGCAGCAAACAGAGCUGGAGCAGGGGCUGGAGGGAGGCCACAGGGCUGCAGGGAUGAGUUGCACGGGUCUGGAACACUCUGCUGCUCCUGCAGCCCUACAUCCCUCCCCAAACCCUUUAUCCAUUUUAAUUUUCCAGGGAAAGUUUUGAAGUUUCAGAUGCUUUGCUUCCAAUGCGUGCCCCCCUCUUGGGCUUUGGAGAGCCUAACGGGUCAUUCUGAAAAGAGCAGCGUGCAAGGUCCAGGCAAGCACUGCAGUGGGGACAUGGCUUGUGCUUUGCUAAGGACAGAAGGAUACACAUGCACGUACACCCGGCCCAUAGCCACAGCCGAAAACCAAGGACAACGAAUAUGGAAUGGAUCAGAAAGAUAAAUAGCAUAAAAUCAGGAACAGUCCGGUCCCACACUUGCCAUUUGUUAUAGAGAGAAGAAGUAAAUGGGAUUCACAUGUCGAGCAUUAGCUGGUUGUUAGUCUGUAAGAUAAUAUUAACUUUAGUGCUUGCUGGUUUACUCCAGUUUUCCGAAGGCAGUUCCAGGAGGCGCCCAGCCUGUAAUUUAGGAUGGCACAUACUGUGUGAAAGAGGCUUUGGCACUGGGGCCUACCAGCACAUCAAGGUGAUAUUAACAUAAUAAAACGUUUGGAGAGCGAGUGGGAGCUCAUAAAUUAAUGCAUUCUACUGUUUUAAUGUGAGGAGCUAACAAUACGUUUCCUGUUGGGCUGAUCGUCCCGCUGCAGCCUAACAGCUGUUUUAAAGGUGCUGUGAAAUUAAAGAGAGGGAAGACGAUUGUCUUUAAAUCAAUGUUUAAUGAUGUGUUAUUAGGAGAAUAAGUCUUCCUCCAGCAGAUGUUUACAUGCAGAGGAUGGAGGGAGCUUCCCCGGCUGUCUGAGUGCCUGAGCAGUGUGGAUGAGAUGCCCCCAUGUCCCUCUUCGGAUGGUCCCAGUGUUCCCAGUGCAGGGUCAGGAAGGCUUGGCGGAGGGCUGGCACUGGGAAAGGCUUUGCCCACGUCUUCCAGUGGGAGCUGAGGAAACUCCUCCAGGAUACGGAAUGGCCACGAGGUUUUGAGUGGUGGCCAUGGACGGGUGAACAUGGGAAAAGGUAAAGACUUCCUAUUCACGUUCAGCACAGGUCAGGGCUGCUGGGAUCCUUUCCCUGUAACAAACAGAUGUGCAUAUGCACGUGUUGUAAAGAGAUCCCAUGCCUCCUUGCCUAGGAGAUGAUCCUUGCUGGGUAUGUGUGGGUUGGGAGCAUGACUGAGCCCCUGUGGAGGUAGAAUGAGGCUCAGAUAGGUCAGCAGGGCUGAGAUGCCUCUGGCCAUGCACUAACAGCAGGCUUCAGGUACUAGAAAAAUACAUGUACCUUUGAGGCAAGACUUGGGAGUGAGCUCUGGAAUGUGGUACCUGAAAUAAGGUACCUGCAAGCAUCAAUCUGUAGGCGCCCAAGACUUGUAAUUUCUUUUCUGCUUGGCCUGAAGAUGUAUGAAUGAAUCACCAUGUCUGUGGGUUUAAAAGAUGGCCAUCAUAAAGCUUCCCACCUAGAGAAAACAUCUGGCGGAUUCAGAUGCCAAAAGUACGUGGGGGUCGAUGCUGGGGAUGGCACAGGGUUGCUGGGGGCUGAUGGGAAGGUUCACCUGCUGCUGGGCACCUUAUUGUCAGGUGAACUCCUGCUGCAGGCCAUAAGAGCAUCAGAUCAUCUCCAGGCCAACCCAAGCUGUUUCCCAAAGGGUUGCUUCCAAAACCAAGCGUGGUGGUACAAAUUGCUCCUAUGCAAACAAAGGAACCCCUUGUAAGUGCUUACUUUCAUCAUCACAAACGUUCAUUAAAGUCUCUCUUUAUUUCCAAAUAUAGCAAAGAAAUGGCUCUCCAAGAUUGCCUGCUCCUUUAUUCAUGAUCUGUUAGUGCAUCUUUGGAAUAGUGUCCAGGAGGCUGCACAGCUUCUUUGGGAGAAACGGGGAUGUUUGGAACAUGAGUGGAUUCUAACAUUUCUAAACUUCCCAGAAGAGGCAGAUUGUAAAGGAAUAAGAUUCUUUCUGUGCACGCACAUUUGCUUUGGAGCCAAAUGGAAAGGAGAGCUCAGAAGAAAAAAAAAUGACAAAUUGUCUGGAAAAUGUUGUCCUUCCCAAGGCAGAAUGGGGGGGAACCAUAUGGAGGGAAGGCACUCAAUACCAAAUUUUUCCCUUUCAAUCCCAGUCCAGCAGCCCUCCCAUUCACUCUGCUAGGGGAUUGCUGUGAGUCAGACCCACAAGAUCAUCCAUUCAAAGCUGGUCAUAUUUCCAGCACUUCACUCCUCUCCUAUUCCCUGCUGAAGCAAGAUGGAAAGGGUUCCCCCCUCCCCAAAUGUAUGGUGAGAGCAGUGGGAUGGGACCCAGGGCCGUCCCCAUCCCUGCCAGUGAAGGAAAGGGCAGAGCUCCUCCGGUGCUCUGAAGCAGUGAUGAUAGACGUGGUUUCUUUCUGGACAAAAUGAGUGAUGUGUUGUGAUCUUGGUGGUGAGCUGGAGCACAGAAAGUACUUCCUAUGACAAAGAAACUCCUUCACUCCAUUCAGUCAUCAAACUUACCAUCUUUGUCAUCUUCAAGUAAUAAAUAAGCUCAAUAUUUUAUGCGUUCCCAACUAUUAAUGGUGACAUUUAUUGAAGAACAACAAAAGCUGCAGCAGUUGUGUACAUCAGCAGUUAACAGCAGUGGGCAGAGCGUGCAAGACUCUGAAGAAGACGUUGGGGAAAGAGUUUUUGUGUGUGGUUGUGUUUAUCCCCUGGUGACACGCCGCUAACAAGCUGCAAAGCAGAGAUCACCCACAACAAACAAACACAAACAAACAAAGUUUUGUGGAGGGUGGUAAGACUUAGUUUAAUUCUCUUAGGCCUUUAAAAAUAAUUAUAGCCCUGUUUGUGACAACUGGGAUGGCCACAUCGACUCCAAUAAAACUGCUUGUUAAUCUUUAGGAGUUACAUUUGGAGAUCUUUCCUUACACAGUGGGGACGCCAAUGGGGGUUGAUCACAAUCAAUGCAACGCAUCAAUGUGCAUCUCUAAUUGCAUCUCUCCUCUUUGCACGAGCAGUAGUUUUGACUCUGCAAAUUGUGGUCAGCUGUUUACUUGCCAGUUAAGUUGCAACACGUUUAAUGACUUACAAGAGAUCUGUCAGAGGACUUACUGCUGCCAAAGAACAGGAUCUGGGGGAUUUUAGCAUUAGUGAAAAGUUACUUAAGGUCUGCAUGUCAAUCCAAGUAUCCCUGCUGCAGUUAUAUUUCAUGCACUAUAGACUGUGUGAGAAGAUGAUAAAUGCCAUAUAUGCCUGAAGGAUAACAUGUACCCCAUGUUCUCAAAAUGCAUCAUUGCAUUUGGCUCCAGAUGUGCUGUGUAUUGCUUGGCUGUGCUUUGCCAGCACAGCAAUGUUGUGGCUCACACACUUUCAGGGUGCAGUGCUGAGUCUUCACGUGCCACCUGUGAGCCCUUGGCAACUGCCUUGGUGGGAAAAGGGAUCCUGCGUAGAUAAGCAUACUCAAUUCCACCUCUAGCUGAGAACCAUUUAGAUCUAUAGAAUCAUUAAGGUCAGAAAAGACCACUAUGAUCAUCUGUCCAACCAUCAACCCAUCACCACCACAUUUUGGCUUUAACAGGGAGUGACUAAACACACAUUUAAGGGUAACAAUGUUCUCACUUAUGGAGUGGCAAGUGAGAUCAUAGAAGUGCCAUCUUUGGAGACCUAUCACUGAGUAUUUCCUUUGCUCCUCCCACUGGGGAGGCUUUGAGCUGGGACAGGGGGCAGGAGAGCAGACAGGAGCAGAGCUGCGUCAGCUCCUGCCAGUGAGACCAUCUCCAUGCGCCAUCACUGCUGUAUCUGUUACCAUUAAUGACUUCUACAGUUGCUCUAAGACCAUUUAAGUACUUUGUGACGAUCUGAAACUCACCUCCACCCUGCACACGGGUCCCAAGUGUUAAUUUUUGGAGGUGAGCACGCUGGCCUGGGAGGGGCAAUGAGACAGGGAUUUAUUUGGCAGCGGUUACACCGCCUCCUGGCAGCAUCCGUGAGGCCUCAUACAAAUGAGAACUGAUGGCUUAAUGUUUUGUUGCAUUUUCCCACCAGAGUCAUUACCUCUUCAUUGUGGGGAUGGAUUAAACCGAAGAGGGGAUGCUCAGGGAGAGGCUGCCCUGUGUUGGCCUUGAGCUGCCAUGCCUCUGCCCCCUGCUCUGCCUCCUGCAUCCUCCCCUUGCUGCCCCUGCACAGAAACUCCAGCGUGCACAGAGCACCUCUUUGUCAGGGAGCUGUAGAGAGAAAUAAGGUCUGAAGGUAUUAAAGGGCUGAGCCCUGUCCUGCUGAAACAUGGUGGAACUGAACCAAAAAUACUUGCAGCAAUGAGAAAGCAUCCAUGGAUCUCAAGUGAAUGAACUUGGGUGCAGACAUGUUUGGAAAACCAAUGAAUUGUCCUUGUGCAUAUCUUCAAAAUACCACUAGCACUUUUGCUUUCCCAAGGGGAUCAUCUACAGCAGAAGACUAACCUGGGUCCCUCCCAGCCAUGGGGCUGAUCACAAGAUAAUCACCAGAACUGGGUACCAGGUCAGAAUUACACACCCAUGUGGAAUGCGUUUGCAGAAGAGAAGUCCUCAUUUGCCUGUGAGCAAGGGAACAAAGGCAUUCAUCCAGCUCAGUGAAACGCCGUGAGAUCCAUGGGGGAAAAGCACUAAGUAUUGCAAUUAUUAUUUACUAUAUAUUAAUAUUAGCUAUUCAGAGGAUUUGUGUGUGGAGGAAACUUGGAGGAUCUGGUCUGGUUCUGUGUGUGUCGGGGCUCUUGAGGGAUUUUUUUAGUGUCUACCAUAAUUAAAGAUGAGGACUGAGUGAAACCUUGUGGUUUUACUCCACAAGACAUUAAGUUCAGUGAACUAUUCCCAUGGUUUCCCAAGAAAAGAUGAAAAAAAAUCGUUCAGAAUGUAUUUCAACAGUGAUUCAGCAGUGUGGCAAGAGUGGAGGCUCUGUAGGGAUCACACGUGCCCAAGAGGGAAAGCCAUCAUAGAACAAAGUGAGAGUGUCAGAUAUCUUAAUUCUUCUCUCUCUCCUCAUCCCUGAAGGCAUAAUCCACCUGCUUGCCCUGCACACAGCGCUGGCUUUGCCUCUAUGUUGCUUGCAGUCAUAGGGCCUUUGUGUGAAGUCCACCUGGCUGGGGCUUCCCUUGUUCACCAAAGGAGAGCAGAGCAAUCCUCACCGACCUGAGGGAGCCUGAUUGUCAUGUUUUGAAAGAUGACACGUCCUGCUGGGAGAACAGCAAAAAUUGCCAGAAAACAUUUAAG
rnacentral:lncRNA from 1 species